UAAAUCUAUGCUUAUAUUAAUCACAAUGUAUACAAACGUCAUGCUUUGGUAACUACAUAUUAUUACUAUUCAUUUACACCACUAUCAACAGCUCAUUAUCAAAGUGAAUGUAAUCCAAUUUCAUGAACAGAUUUAGUAAGUUAAAUUUUUGAGAAGGAAUUACAAAACUUCACUACUUUAAAAAUUAGAAACUUUCUAGUAUAAAUUUUGUUCAGCUAGUCCCAUUCUUUUCUUCUGCUCAUUGCUCUACCUGUCAGAAAUGUUUUCCUUUGCUUCCUGUCUCAACGUGAAUAUCCAAUUAAAAAUUGGAAUCCCCUAAGAAAUUAAUUGGGAUAAUUUGCAAGGGCUACCUGAUGUAUCUUCUCAAGAGGCAGCAGAUUUCUUUCUUCUACUUCUGUUAAUGGAGUAAUGAAUAAAGUAGAAUGACAUGUUUUCUUAGUUAAAAAUACAGAAAAAUGUCCAUGAACUAUUUUGAGAAAUUUGGCAUACAUUACAUUAUUUGAUAAAUGGUAGACAAUAAUUCAUUGAAAAUUCUUAUUUUCCACCAAACAAAAUGUGGGUGAUUUUAUGCACUAAAGAAUUUAACUGCUGAAUAUUAUACAGUAUUUUAAAAUCCUGAACAAAUUUACGUGAAUGGAAUAAUAAGCAUGCUAACAAAAAUACGAGUUAAACAUAGCACUAAAACUGGCAUGUUUGUAGGCAAUUGCAUACAAGCACAUAGAACAUCUGACAUUGGUACAGUGUUAGGUUGCAUACGUAUGCAAAGUUGAAGCUUGAUUGAGUCAUCUACAUAAAACUUAAAAGCUCCAAAAUAUGCACAAUUGGGAUUGUAUUUCUUCUGGAAUGUGUAAAUGGUGUUUCUCAGAUGACAGUGUAUAAUCCAGAUAUGUUGGACAUUUUCAAAUAAAAACACAUAGCAUAUCCUUUGAAUAUUUUUUAAUUGCAAGCAAGCACAUCACUUUGAAAGCUACAUAAGCAUAUCUUAUUUAGGUUUAAAUCACAUAUAGGUGUUGUGGACCCCCAAGGGUUCAAAACCAGAAUCUAGUCCGUUCGCUGGCCGAGCCACGUGGGGAGUGAUGACAUGACCCAAUAUGAGUGCAUCAGAAUCUCCAUUUAUUAUCUAUUACUUACACACAUAUAUAGAUCGUGGUGAACGCAUGUCAGUGUGUAAUUGGUUGAAGCAUUGUGAAAAGCCCCCUGCCUAACAAUGCUAUUGGUCAUGCAUGUUUUCAUACCAUUCCACUGUCUUAAUCUCUUCCCAGGCGAGCUACCCCCUUAUCUUAGCUGAAGCCUCAGUUUGUCUUCCUGCUUUGACAGCUUCAAGGUCUCAUAGCCUGGGUUGUGCACAUAGCACCCGAGCUCACAGCCAUUAUAACGAGCUAGUACUUUUCCAUCUGUAUCUCCUGCCAAUUGUUAGGCCUGUUCUGCUCGUACAACUGUUCAAGAGACCCAUGAUCCCAUCAGCUGUGGAGCCAUCCCUCAACAUAUAGGUAUCUGUGAGAAAUGGACAACAUUGUAGAGUAGCAUUUUAAGGAAAAUUUUUCCAGUUUGGUAUUUAAAGGCCCUGGCAAAUGGUGAGGAGAUCUGGCUUUUUUUUUCUUUGAUUUUGAUGAUAUAUAAAAAGAAUCAUAGGCAACUUAAUAUAGAAACUGACGACUUGUUUUCCCAGUGGAAGUAACUUUUCUCAAAGAAAAAUAUGUUCACACAGCUAUUGAAGAAUUUAUCUGGUCACAGUAAAUUAUUCAUUAAAUACAUUUGGAUGUGUAAUAUUAACAUACGAUUCAUGCUUUGAUUUCAUUAUUUAUUUAAAAUGAAUAAUGUGUGGGUUAUUCUCAAUGGGAAAGACAGUUCUCUUCAUCUCCACCCUGGUCACAUGCACUGUCCCAAUCCAUUGUGCCAGUACCAUCACUGAAGUGGGAAGCUGCCUGAGGAAACGGGUCUACCUGAAAGCUAUUGAACUUGAGUACAAGUCUCAGGAACAAACCACCAGUUCAGGAAGCAGACCACAUUCACAUCAGUUUUAAGCCACAUCUGCCACUGUUGUUAGGCAGUGAUUUAAGGACCUGUCCAUGCACUUUUGUGUACAUAAAGGAUAUGCUUAU
rnacentral:lncRNA from 1 species